GAUUGUUUGAUCAUGGCUCAGAACGAACGCUGGCGGCAUGCCUAACACAUGCAAGUCGAACGAAGGCUUCGGCCUUUAGUGGCGCACGGGUGUGUAACGCGUGGGAAACUGCCUAUUGGUGGGGAAUAACGACGGGAAACUGUCGCUAAUACCGCAUAAGCCCUUCGGGGGAAAGAUUUAUCGCCGAUAGAUGUGCCCGCGUCCGAUUAGCUAGUUGGUGAGGUAAUGGCUCACCAAGGCGACGAUCGGUAGCUGGUCUGAGAGGAUGAUCAGCCACACUGGGACUGAGACGCGGCCCAGACUCCUACGGGAGGCAGCAGUGGGGAAUAUUGGACAAUGGGCGAAAGCCUGAUCCAGCAAUGCCGCGUGAGUGAUGAAGGCCUUAGGGUUGUAAAGCUCUUUCGGGUGGGACGAUGAUGACGGUACCACCAGAAGAAGCCCCGGCUAACUUCGUGCCAGCAGCCGCGGUAAUACGAAGGGGGCUAGCGUUGUUCGGAAUUACUGGGCGUAAAGCGCACGCAGGCGGCGUGAUAAAUUAGAAGUGAAAGCCCCGGGCUUAACCUGGGAAUUGCUUUUAAGACUGUCACGCUAGAAUCCAGAAGAGGGUAGUGGAAUUCCGAGUGUAGAGGUGAAAUUCGUAGAUAUUCGGAAGAACACCAGUGGCGAAGGCGACUACCUGGUCUGGCAUUGACGCUCAUGUGCGAAAGCGUGGGGAGCAAACAGGAUUAGAUACCCUGGUAGUCCACGCCGUAAACGAUGAGUGCUAGUUGUUGGGGUUCAUAGAACUUCAGUGACGCAGCUAACGCAUAAGCACUCCGC
rnacentral:rRNA from 1 species